UAAUGUUCGACAGUCCCAUUGGGUGGCAGUAGAAGUCGACUUUGUGCGACAUACUGUCACUGUCUAUGACUCGUAUUCUGAUUUUACCUCCAACAGUAUGCUUGUCCGAUUCAUGGAGCCUAUUACCCAUACGCUUGCAAAGGUGCUGCAUGAAAUGAGGUUUUAUGAGAAAUCGGAGGUUGAAGCGGUGAAGAGAAAGGGGACUGACAUGUCAAACUUUAACCCAUUCACAAUUUGCAGAAUUUCCGAUGUUCCUCAACAAAGUGAUGGUACUUCAUGUGGCAUUAUGACAGUCAAAUAUAUCGAGUACCUUAGUGCCGGCAUUCCUUUACAUACCAUUGACCCAUCCAAGUUUGGCUACUACCGAUUGAAGCUUGCAAUCGAGGCUUUCAGGGGGGAGGCCUAUGUAUGAGGUGGUCCUUCCAGCUUCAUACCCAUAUUGACAUCUCAGAUUCUGUACAUGUAUGUGAAAGAAGUUGCAGGAUGUUUUGUCGUAUUGUGAAUCUUGAAACUUAGUAUCAGUUUUUGCGUAACAUGGCACAAUUUUUGACAUUUUGCUCACCACGCGAUAAAGUGGGGUGAUUUUGUAGUAGGUUGCAGGGUGUUCAUUUAUGUAACGGAAUUCAACUCUACUUGUCUUCCAUGGUAGAAGGGCUGUAUUCACUUUCCUUUGUUAGAACUAAUUGUUGACAUUCUGUGCUUAACAAAUUCCUGUAAAUCCAUAAUUUGGCACAAGU